rnacentral:misc_RNA from 1 species
AACGCACAUUGCGCCCCUUGGUAUUCCAUGGGGCAUGCCUGUUCGAGCGUCAUCUACACCCUCAAGCUCUGCUUGGUGUUGGGCGUCUGUCCCGCCUCUGCGCGCGGACUCGCCCCAAAUUCAUUGGCAGCGGUCUUUGCCUCCUCUCGCGCAGCACAAUUGCGUCUGCGGGGGGGCGCGGCCCGCGUCCACGAAGCAACAUUACCGUCUUUGACCUCGGAUCAGGUAGGGAUACCCGCUGAACUUAA